GGAGGGAGUGCGGCAGCGGCGGAGGAGGAGAGGAGAAGCCGGUGGCAGAGGACGCAGCCAGGCCCCGGUCUGCACCGCCGCCCAGACCCACCAUGUCGGAGGUGGACAAGUCCCAGCCAGUGGCCCUGGGGGCCUCGCGGGUCGAGCUCCGAGUCUCAUGCUGGAACCUCCUGGACCGGGACACUCUGACCAACCCAAACCCCUGCGUGGUGCUGAAACAGCUCAGUGAGGGGCAGUGGACUGAGGUGGGGCGCUCCGAGAUCAUGUGCUGCAGCCUGAACCCCGUCUUCUCCCAUGUCUUUCCACUGGACUACUUCUUCGAGGAGAUGCAGACGCUGUGCUUCGAAGUCUAUGAUGCCAACGGCGCUGAGGAUGCGGGGUUCCAGGAUGACGCUUUCCUGGGGGAGGCUGAGUGCUCCCUGGGCCAGAUCGUAUCCCAGACCAAGGUCACCAAACCACUGCUACUCAAGACUGGCAAGACUGCAGGAAAAUCCACCAUCACGAUCGAAGCAGAAAAGGUCACUAGUACCAAUGACUUUGUGCAGCUUGAGUUCCGGGCUCAGAAGUUGGACAACAAGGAUCUCUUCAGCAAGUCUGACCCUUUCCUGGAAAUCUACAAGGUGAACAGGAACAACACGGAGCAGCUGGUGAUGAGGACGGAGGUGAUAAAUAACAACCUCAGCCCCAGGUGGGAACCCUUCCGCAUCUCCCUCCACUCGCUCUGCAGCUGCGACCCAGACAAGACCAUACGGUGUGUUGUUUACGACUAUAAUUCCAGUGGGAAACAUGAUUACAUUGGUGAAUUCACGACAACCUUCCGUGAAAUGCAUGAGGUUUCCUCAGGGAAAGAGAUGGAGUUUGAGUGCAUCAACCCGAAGUACCAGGAGAAGAAGAAACACUACACCAACUCCGGCACGGUGGUUCUGACCCAAUGCAAGGUGGAGAAGGUUCACACGUUCCUGGAUUACAUCAUGGGCGGACUGCAGAUCUACUUCACGGUGGCGAUUGACUUUACGGCUUCCAACGGUGACCCGCGCAGCGAGCACUCCCUGCAUUUCAUCAACCCCAAGGAACCCAACGAAUACCUCAGAGCGCUGUCAGCCGUGGGUGAGAUCUGCCAGGACUACGACAGUGACAAAAAGUUUCCGGCCUUUGGAUUUGGGGCACGGAUCCCACCAAACUAUGAGGUCUCUCAUGAUUUCGCCAUCAACUUCGACCCAGACAACCCGGAGUGUGAAUGGAUCUCGGGGGUGAUCGAGGCCUACAAGCGGUGCCUGCCCCAGAUCCAGCUCUACGGCCCCACCAACCUGGCCCCCAUCAUCAACCGGGUGCUGGCGCCCGCCAGCGAGGAAGAGGGCAGUGGGCCUCCCAUGCGGUACCGGGUGCUGCUGGUGCUGACGGACGGGGUGCUGAGCGACAUGCCGGCCACGCGGGAAGCCAUCGCCCGAGCCUCGAGCUUGCCCGUCUCCAUCAUCAUUGUGGGCGUGGGGAACACUGACUUCUCCGACAUGCGGGCGCUGGACGAGGAGGACGGGACCCAGGAGUCCGGGUGGGAGCGGGCCGUCCGCGACAUCGUCCAGUUCGUGCCCUUCUGCGAAUUCAAGAAGGCGCCCCCGGCAGCGCUGGCCAGGUACCUCUGUCCUUUACCUCUGCCGACCUCCGGCCCUUUCUCCUGGACCUGCCCCACCAGGGCUCUGAGGACCGACGCAGGGUAAGGGGCUCCCAGCCCCAUGCUGCCCUCCCCUGACUGAGGGCGAAGGCUGGACCUGACCCCCCCAACCACCGCCCCCAGGGGCCCCGUUAUUCUCAGGCCUCUGGCUUCAUACAUGAGGCCAGGGGCCACCUGGACCCGCCGGCCGGGGGGACGGUUUCCACUCGGCGGCCACAUGGGCAACCGGAACCAGGAACCAUCUCUGGCUUCCACAGCAACCUGGGCACAGAGCCAGCCAUGAGCUACAGCCUCCUUGGCAAACAGAAUGACUGCACCAGCCUUCAGGAGAGUUGGGG